GGUUGGAUCAUUAUCAAAUGCUUGGGUUAACAGCCCAAUCGAUACCUGUGCACAAAACGUUUCUGGUAGACUUGUUUUACCAACUUAACCAUUACAAAUUAUCUGAAGUAAAUUAUAACAAAAACAACUUUUGACAACGGAUCUCUUGGCUCUCGCAACGAUGAAGAACGCAGCGAAAUGCGAUACGUAGUGUGAAUUGCAGAAUUCCGUGAAUCAUCAAAUCUUUGAACGCACAUUGCACUCUGCUUGUCAGAGUAUGCCUGUUUGAGAAUCUAUUCAAUCUCAACACAUUAGUGUUGGAAAUGAGCUAUCUUAAUAGUCGCUUUAAUCCCAUGGACCAACUCUUUUUUGAAAACUUGUUGACCAUCGUUUGAAUGGGGUAACCCUUUAACGAUUGUAAUGCGUGGAAUAAAAAAAGAUACUUGGCAUUAAAAGACGAUAUUUUGUCUGAACCCUUGGUCUCAAAUCAGGUAGGAGGACCCGCUGAACUUAAGCAUAUCAAUAAGCGGAGGAAAAGAAACUAACAAGGAUUCCCCUAGUAACGGCGAGUGAAGCGGGAAAAGCUCAAAUUUGAAAUCUCGUAGGUCACCUGCGCGAAUUGUAGUUUAGAGAAGCGAUUUCAAAGGCGGCCUGGGUACAAGUUCUUUGGAACAAGGCAUCAUAGAGGGUGAGAAUCCCGUCCAUGAUCCAGGUGCUGCUUUUAUGUGAGUCGUCUUCCAAGAGUCGGUUUGUUUGGGAAUGCAGACCAAAAUGGGUGGUAAAUACCAUCUAAAGCUAAAUAUUGGCGAGAGACCGAUAGCGAACAAGUACCGUGAGGGAAAGAUGAAAAGAACUUUGAAAAGAGAGUUAAACAGUACGUGAAAUUGUCAAAAGGGAAACGCUUGAAACCAGUAUUGAUUGCAGAAAUUCAAUUACUCUAACGAGUGGUGUACUUUUUUGUGAUCGAGUCAACAUCAGUUUGGUUUGGAGGAAAAAACCAUGGGAAGGUAUCCCUCGGGUGUUAUAGCCCAUGGUGCUACUCUGAACCGGACUGAGGAACGCAGUGUUUUUGGGGAACUGGUCGCCUUUUGAAGCGGCGCUACUGAAUGCAUGCAGACAGUGGUUGCCGUCAGGAAGUUCGGUCAUCUACUACACCAACGCUUUGGAUGUUGACGAAAUGGUUCUAAACGACCCGUCUUGAAACACGGACCAAGGAGUCUAACAUAUGCGCGAGUAUUUGGGUGGCAAACCCUUAUGCGGAAUGAAAGUGAAAAGGUGGGAUCCUCGGAGCACCAUCGACCGGGCUUUGGCUUUUGCCUUGGUCUGAGUAUGAGCGUACAUGUUGGGACCCGAAAGAUGGUGAACUAUGCCUGAAUAGGGUGAAGCCAGAGGAAACUCUGGUGGAGGCUCGUAGCGGUUCUGACGUGCAAAUCGAUCGUCAAAUUUGGGUAUAGGGGCGAAAGACUAAUCGAACCAUCUAGUAGCUGGUUCCCUC
rnacentral:misc_RNA from 1 species